AUGCAGUCGAACGAACUUCCGUUAAUUGAUUAUGAGGUGCUUGCACUGAAUGAGAUUUUAACACGAAGUGAGUGGCGGACGGGUGAGUAACACGUGGGUAACCUGCCCAGAAGCAGGGGAUAACACCUGGAAACAGAUGCUAAUACCGUAUAACAGAGAAAACCGCCUGGUUUUCUUUUAAAAGAUGGCUCUGCUAUCACUUCUGGAUGGACCCGCGGCGCAUUAGCUAGUUGGUGAGGUAACGGCUCACCAAGGCGAUGAUGCGUAGCCGACCUGAGAGGGUAAUCGGCCACAUUGGGACUGAGACACGGCCCAGACUCCUACGGGAGGCAGCAGUAGGGAAUCUUCCACAAUGGACGCAAGUCUGAUGGAGCAACGCCGCGUGAGUGAAGAAGGGUUUCGGCUCGUAAAGCUCUGUUGUUAAAGAAGAACGUGGGUGAGAGUAACUGUUCACCCAGUGACGGUAUUUAACCAGAAAGCCACGGCUAACUACGUGCCAGCAGCCGCGGUAAUACGUAGGUGGCAAGCGUUAUCCGGAUUUAUUGGGCGUAAAGCGAGCGCAGGCGGUCUUUUAAGUCUAAUGUGAAAGCCUUCGGCUCAACCGAAGAAGUGCAUUGGAAACUGGGAGACUUGAGUGCAGAAGAGGACAGUGGAACUCCAUGUGUAGCGGUGAAAUGCGUAGAUAUAUGGAAGAACACCAGUGGCGAAGGCGGCUGUCUGGUCUGUAACUGACGCUGAGGCUCGAAAGCAUGGGUAGCGAACAGGAUUAGAUACCCUGGUAGUCCAUGCCGUAAACGAUGAUUACUAAGUGUUGGAGGGUUUCCGCCCUUCAGUGCUGCAGCUAACGCAUUAAGUAAUCCGCCUGGGGAGUACGACCGCAANNUGAAACUCAAAAGAAUUGA
rnacentral:rRNA from 1 species